GCCGACGUGGCUCGAUGGGAGCAAGGCGCCCGCCUCGUAAGCGGGAGGAUGCUGGUGCGAAUCCAGCCGUCGGCU
rnacentral:tRNA from 1 species